UAGGGAAUCUUCCGCAAUGGGCGAAAGCCUGACGGAGCAACGCCGCGUGAGUGAUGAAGGUCUUCGGAUCGUAAAACUCUGUUAUUAGGGAAGAACAAAUGUGUAAGUAACUAUGCACGUCUUGACGGUACCUAAUCAGAAAGCCACGGCUAACUACGUGCCAGCAGCCGCGGUAAUACGUAGGUGGCAAGCGUUAUCCGGAAUUAUUGGGCGUAAAGCGCGCGUAGGCGGUUUUUUAAGUCUGAUGUGAAAGCCCACGGCUCAACCGUGGAGGGUCAUUGGAAACUGGAGAACUUGAGUGCAGAAGAGGAAGGUGGAAUUCCAUGUGUAGCGGUGAAAUGCGCAGAGAUAUGGAGGAACACCAGUGGCGAAGGCGACUUUCUGGUCUGUAACUGACGCUGAUGUGCGAAAGCGUGGGGAUCAAACAGG
rnacentral:rRNA from 1 species